rnacentral:rRNA from 1 species
CUGGCAGUCUCUGGCUGUCCGAGUUGUAAUUUAGAGAAGUGUUACCCGCGUUGGACCGUGUAUAAGUCUCCUGGAAUGGAGCGUCAUAGAGGGUGAGAAUCCCGUCUUUGACACGGACUACCAAGGCAUUGUGGUGCGCUCUCGAAGAGUCGUGUUGUUUGGGAAUGCAGCACUAAAUGGGUGGUAAAUUCCAUCUAAAGCUAAAUAUUGGCGAGAGACCGAUAGCGAACAAGUACCGUGAGGGAAAGAUGAAAAGAACUUUGGAAAGAGAGUUAAACAGUACGUGAAAUUGCUGAAAGGGAAACGCUUGAAGUCAGUCGCGUUGGCUAGGGAUCAACCUUGCUUUUGUGGGGUGUACUUCCUAGUUAACGGGUCAACAUCAGUUUUGACUGCUGGAAAAAGGCCAGGGAAAUGUGACAACUCCGGUUGUGUUAUAGUCUCUGGUCAUAUACAGUGGUUGGGACUGAGGAACUCAGCACGCCGCAAGGNCCGGGUUUUUAACCACGUUCGUGCUUAGGAUGUUGGCAUAAUGGCUUUAAGCGACCCGUCUUGAAACACGGACCAAGGAGUCUANCAUGCCUGCGAGUAUUUGGGUGG